GCCGGUUUAGCUCAGCGGUAGAGCAACCGCUUCGUAAGCGGUAGGCCGUCUGUUCAAAUCAGACAACCGGCACCA
rnacentral:tRNA from 1 species